AUUGAACGCUGGCGGCAUGCCUUACACAUGCAAGUCGAACGGUAACAGGUCUUCGGAUGCUGACGAGUGGCGAACGGGUGAGUAAUAUAUCGGAACGUGCCCAGUCGUGGGGGAUAACGUAGCGAAAGCUACGCUAAUACCGCAUACGAUCUACGGAUGAAAGCGGGGGAUCGCAAGACCUCGCGCGAUUGGAGCGGCCGAUAUCAGAUUAGGUAGUUGGUGAGGUAAAGGCUCACCAAGCGGACGAUCUGUAGCUGGUCUGAGAGGACGACCAGCCACACUGGGACUGAGACACGGCCCAGACUCCUACGGGAGGCAGCAGUGGGGAAUUUUGGACAAUGGACGCAAGUCUGAUCCAGCCAUUCCGCGUGCAGGACGAAGGCCUUCGGGUUGUAAACUGCUUUUGUACAGAACGAAAAGGUCUCUAUUAAUACUAGGGGCUCAUGACAGUACUGUAAGAAUAAGCACCGGCUAACUACGUGCCAGCCGCCGCCGUAAUAC
rnacentral:rRNA from 1 species